ACCUAUAGAAUAGGUUAGUACCCUAUUUAUAUUCUAUAAAUACCCUUUUAAAAUAUUACAUUCUAUAAAUACCCUUUUUAGUUUAUAGCAAAAAAUUUAAAUUUAGUUCCAUCCUAAAAUUAAGGCUUAAUAUAUGCUACAAAAUAUUUUUCUAUCUCAUUUUUUUUUAUUUUCUCUCACCUAAUUAGCGUAUAUCUCCUCUCAUCAGCUUUUCUCUCUCUUCUUCAAUACACUUUUCCCUCUUCUCCCACAAACACACGUUCCAUACACUUCAAAAACCCUCCUCCGCCAUUAUCGCCUAUACUUCUCCGCCAUUAUCACCCCACACGCCAUUCUUCUUCGCAACUGUUCUCAAGCGUAUUUUGACGGGCAAGUUGGUUCUCAAAUGUUUUUUAGAGCUUCACAGUUUUAUUUUGGAAAUCUUCUCCCCGUAGGAUUCUUUGAGUUUUCUCUCUAAUGUCGGAUGCAACGCCACUCAACAGACUACCCAGAGGUUUAUCAGCAUCCAAAGUUGAUGAAAGAAGAAGUAAAUUACACAAUGACAAGUUGAAAGAAGUCCAAGUUGAUGAAGCUUCAAAAGAAACCAAAAAUCAAGUUGGCUCAAAGAGGAAAAAACCUAUGAAAGAUUCAAGAAACCAAAAGGUAAUUGGUAUUUGUUACAUGUAUUCUGUUGUAUUCA